GGCCACAGCCAUAUCACCCUGCACCCCAAGACCGGUUACUCAUUGAAGCUAAGCAUGGCUGAUCCUGGUCAAUACCUGGAUGGGUUUCCACAUGGGAACACUAGGUUGCUGUUGGAA
ensembl:rRNA 5S_rRNA 5S ribosomal RNA